rnacentral:lncRNA from 1 species
UCGAAGCUUUCUGUGCUGUCGGGGCGAGCUGAUAACCAAAUAACGGUGUUGAGUUUUACUUUAUAAAUGCUUUAUGUUCGUUUGAAGUAUUGAAUAAGAACAUAAAUGUAUUUAUAAAGGUUACUCGGGAACACGUGUAUUUGUUUACUUUUAGCACGUGUGUUUAAAUCAAAACAUGUUUAUGUUUAAUUUGAUUGGACAAUCAGUAAGUUAUUACCGGUUUAAGUUAUAUCAAUCAUGAUAACUUCAUGCUAGAAUUUUAGCGCUAAAAUUAUAAUAAGAAAGUCUAGAAUUGUCAUUCGAGGUUCGCCUAUCCGACAGUAAAGGUUCGUUUCCCACCCACC